rnacentral:lncRNA from 1 species
UGUAGUCCCACGUGGUCGGAGAAACGGAGAGAAAACCAGCGUAACUCGAUCAAAAAAUAGUGGAACUAACAAUCAAAAGAUGUUUUUAUGAUAUUUGUCGUUCGGGAUACAUGAAAUGGGAGAUCCAGCAUGAAAUCAGAAGCUGAUGAAAUGCGAUUACGAAGCAAGAAGGAGAAUCACGUUCGGGUCACCACUUUGGCACAUGGCCAAAUCCUCGAGGUCAAGGGGGUGCGUGUCCACUCGUCGAGUCCAGAAGUGAAAGUGGUCAAUGGUGACCAGUCCGGAAGUAAGGAAGAGAUCGCAGUACCACUAGCAAAAUUCAGACAAGCAGAAAAACAGAUCUGCCAUGUAGUAAUCCACUCCAUACCACAUGCUGUAGGAUAAAAUAGACUUGGUUGCAAUUUCCCAUGAAGCAAGUGGCUGCUGUAAAGCAAUAAAAGUGCCAUGCCCAUAUAAACAGCUGCAGG